GCCCAGGUAGCUCAGUUGGUAGAGCAGAGGACUGAAAAUCCUCGUGUCGGUGGUUCAAUUCCGCCCCUGGGCA
rnacentral:tRNA from 1 species